rnacentral:rRNA from 1 species
AUUGAACGCUGGCGGCAGGCCUAACACAUGCAAGUCGAGCGGAGCGGCGGACGGGUGAGUAAUGUCUGGGAAACUGCCUGCUGGAGGGGGAUAACUACUGGAAAAGGUAGCUAAUACCGCAUACCACAAGAUGUGCCCAGAGGGGAUUAGCUAGUAGGUGGGGUAACGGCCCACCAAGGCGAUGAUCAGUAGCCGGUCUGAGAGGAUGAUCAGUCACACUGUAACUGAGACACGGUCCAGACUCCUACGGGAGGCAGCAGUGGGGAAUAUUGGACAAUGGGCGAAAGCCUGAUCCAGCCAUGCCGCGUGUGUGAAGAAGGUCUUCGGAUUGUAAAGCACUUUAAGUUGGGAGGCGUUACCAACAGAAUAAGCACCGGCUAACUUCGUGCCAGCCGCCGCGGUAAUAC